UACGAGAGGCCCAAACGUUAUUCGGAAUUACUGGGCUUAAAGAGUUCGUAGGCGGCGCAGAAAGUAGGGUGUGAAAGCCCUCGCUUAACCGAAGAAUUGCGCCCUAAACUACUGUGCUUGAGGAACCUAGAGGUGAGCAGAACAGAUGGUGGAGCGGUGAAAUGCGUUGAUAUCAUCUGGAAUACCGGAGGCGAAGGCGGCUCACUGGGGGUUUUCUGACGCUGAGGAACGAAAGCCAGGGUAGCGAACGGG
rnacentral:rRNA from 1 species